rnacentral:rRNA from 1 species
AUGUUAGAAGGUGCUAAAUCAAUAGGUGUCGGAGCUGCUACAAUUGCUUUAGCUGGAGCUGCUGUUGGUAUUGGAAACAUCCUCAGUUCUUUGAUUCAUUCCGUGGCGCGAAAUCCAUCAUUGGCUAAACAAUCAUUUGGUUAUGCCAUUUUGGGCUUUGCUCUCACCGAAGCUAUUGCAUUGUUUGCCCCAAUGACAGCCUUUCUGAUCUCAUUCGUUUUUCGAUCGCAUAAAAAGUCAUGA